AUGGCAAAAUCGGACGGACUUCUUUUCAAAUACAGAUCUCCGAUGUCCCCCUACAGUCUGCAGUCGCACGGCUGGUGGUGUGGCACAGACGGAGCAAGGGUUACAUCAAGGCUGUUCUCUGGACCGUGCAAACAGUCUAGACCAAUGACCUGCAGCAUCGUGCCCUUUGAAGAAGAGGCAAGUUCGGUCACGAUGAAGAAAAAUCAAGGCGUACCCCUUUUAACAAUAGGGAGCAGCUCGUGGCUGCAAAGAGGUGUACAGCUGCCUUCCAGUUUGCAAAGAGAUCGUUUAUCAUUUCAUGAAUUACGGAAGGUCAUACUGCAGAAAGAAAAAAAUAUUUUGAUGAUUUGUCUGAUUUUGCUGAAGAGGUCUUUUAUGGAAGACACCUGAACUGACAAAUCUGAAGGUAUAUUGAAUUAAAUGUAAUCUGAAUAA
rnacentral:lncRNA from 1 species